UAUAUGGUAUGGUGGCUGUACCUGUCGAAGUUCAAGUUCAUCCGAGAGCUCCUGGGCAGCCAGCAGGAAACCAGUCCCUCGGUGGAGGAGCUCAAGCACGCGAGGUCCCGGACUUCACGCAAAGUGCGGCGGGAGUAGGGGCGCCCACUCCCCCUCCCUCUCUCCCCCCCAUGAGCCGUCGCCUGCAAUUCUCAUCCUCGUCACAAGUGGUUUAGGGAAUAGUGGUCUGUGUGGAACAAUUUUUUUGCGUUUUAUUGCUCCAAGCUGCUCUUCGAAGACACAAUGAAGCGCUCGACACCAUCAAUUGCCAAUCCACUGCUCAAAUCAUCCAGCUGCUUCACUCAACGACAGAAUAGGUCCAUUGCAUCUCUCGAAGGAUCAUGGGAUUGGAUGCGGUCGUCGUGACAAUGGAUUUGCCUGUCCUGUGUGCGUCACCUUGAUUUUGAUUUUACGCAUAGGUCUCGCAAUUUGAGUGUCUGUAGAUAACUGUGUUUUUUUGUUUUUUUUCCCUCGCAUUACCAUCGUGAAAACAAAUAUGCAUAUUGAUUUUGUUAUUUGUUUACUUUCAUAAUUUCUUUCUGUCUCUCUUUCUCCUCACUUUUAGUCUCCCAAAGAGGAAAAGAGAAAGAGAAACUUGACACAUUUUGUAUUAUAAACAAAUUUAUGGUUGAAAGUAGUUUUGAAUUAUAGAUAUAUUUAUAUGAAAAGUGUUGAUAAUUCCUUGAUAAGGCAUCAUAUGAUAAGACUUUUCUAUCAAUGAAUUAGUUAAUCAUGUAUCAAGACAAUUUACUGUAUGAACACGUCAUAAUAAUAAAACAUACCAACAAAAACAGAACAAAACAGAGAAAAAAAAACCCUGAUCAACACUACUCAAGAGAUUGUAAUAUACAAUAAAUAAAAUAGACUGAAAAAAAGCAAUAGAUGAGAGAGAGAGAGAGAUUGAUUACUCAAAAGCAAUUGUAUUUUUUAUGGUUGCCGCCCCACAGAUGAUAUUUUUUUUCUGAUUGGGAAAGAUCCUAUAGUAUAAGAAUGAUAAAUGAUGUUGUACUUGCUCUCUCGUUAUAUAUUUUGUACAUUUGCAGGUGUUUCAUGUAUAGACAUACUGUGGUAUAUUUAUUGAUUUAAAGAGAGUGGAAACCAUGAAUAAAAUGCCCGUUGUAUUUUUGUAUAUUGUGAAUCAAAUUUGGGUAUAUAUAUAUGUAAAUGUAAUAUAGUUAUCGAGUAUGUUCCCCUCUCCUCCCCCCCCCCCAACACUUUCCAGAGGGUGCGAGUGUGUUAUUUUUUAAUCUUACUAAGUGGGCAAUAAUGAUGUUGCUUGAAGAGAUAAUCAUGAUUGUCAACCUUAGUAUUUUUCAGUUUGGAAAUAAAUAUGCUGAUUUUU